rnacentral:rRNA from 1 species
UACAGAGGUCCCAAGCGUUGUUCGGAUUCAUUGGGCGUAAAGGGUGCGUAGGCGGCUUGUCACGUCGGGUGUGAAAGCCCGGGGCUUAACCCCGGGUCUGCAUUCGAUACGGGCUAGCUAGAGUGUGGUAGGGGAGAUCGGAAUUCCUGGUGUAGCGGUGAAAUGCGCAGAUAUCAGGAGGAACAUCGGUGGCGAAGGCGGAUCUCUGGGCCACUACUGACGCUGAGAAGCGAAAGCGUGGGGAGCGAACAGG